GGCGAACGGGUGAGUAACACGUGAGUAACCUGCCCACAACUUUGGGAUAACGCUAGGAAACUGGUUCUAAUACUGGAUAUGUGCUCCUGCUGCAUGGUGGGGGUUGGAAAGCUCCGGCGGUUGUGGAUGGACUCGCGGCCUAUCAGCUUGUUGGUGGGGUAGUGGCCUACCAAGGCGGCGACGGGUAGCCGGCCUGAGAGGGUGACCGGCCACAUUGGGACUGAGAUACGGCCCAG
rnacentral:rRNA from 1 species